AUACGAAGGGGGCAAGCGUUGUUCGGAAUAACUGGGCGUAAAGCGCACGUAGGCGGAUUGAUCAGUUAGAGGUGAAAUCCCAGGGCUCAACCCUGGAACUGCCUUUAAUACUGUCAGUCUAGAGAUCGAGAGAGGUGAGUGGAAUUCCGAGUGUAGAGGUGAAAUUCGUAGAUAUUCGGAGGAACACCAGUGGCGAAGGCGGCUCACUGGCUCGAUACUGACGCUGAGGUGCGAAAGCGUGGGGAGCGAACAGGAUUAGAAACCCCAGUAGUCC
rnacentral:rRNA from 1 species